rnacentral:rRNA from 1 species
GUUGCUGGAGGUAUCAGAAGUGCGAAUGCUGACAUAAGUAACGAUAAAGCGGGUGAAAAGCCCGCUCGCCGGAAGACCAAGGGUUCCUGUCCAACGUUAAUCGGGGCAGGGUGAGUCGACCCCUAAGGCGAGGCCGAAAGGCGUAGUCGAUGGGAAACGGGUUAAUAUUCCCGUACUUGGUGUUACUGCGAAGGGGGGACGGAGAAGGCUAUGUUGGCCGGGCGACGGUUGUCCCGGUUUAAGCGUGUAGGUGUGUGUUCCAGGUAAAUCCGGUUCACUUUAACACUGAGGCGUGACGACGAGGCACUACGGUGCUGAAGCAACAAAUGCCCUGCUUCCAGGAAAAGCCUCUAAGCAUCAGGUAACAUCAAAUCGUACCCCAAACCGACACAGGUGGUCAGGUAGAGAAUACCAAGGCGCUUGAGAGAACUCGGGUGAAGGAACUAGGCAAAAUGGUGCCGUAACUUCGGGAGAAGGCACGCUGACACGUAGGUGAAGUGAUUUACUCAUGGAGCUGAAGUCAGUCGAAGAUACCAGCUGGCUGCAACUGUUUAUUAAAAACACAGCACUGUGCAAACACGAAAGUGGACGUAUACGGUGUGACGCCUGCCCGGUGCCGGAAGGUUAAUUGAUGGGGUCAGCGCAAGCGAAGCUCCUGAUCGAAGCCCCGGUAAACGGCGGCCGUAACUAUAACGGUCCUAAGGUAGCGAAAUUCCUUGUCGGGUAAGUUCCGACCUGCACGAAUGGCGUAAUGAUGGCCAGGCUGUCUCCACCCGAGACUCAGUGAAAUUGAACUCGCUGUGAAGAUGCAGUGUACCCGCGGCAAGACGGAAAGACCCCGUGAACCUUUACUAUAGCUUGACACUGAACAUUGAGCCUUGAUGUGUAG